rnacentral:rRNA from 1 species
CUCGUAGGCGGUUCCGUAAGUCAGGUGUGAAACCUCCAGGCUCAACCUGGAGACGCCACCUGAUACUGCGGUGACUGGAGUCCGGUAGGGGAGCGUGGAAUUCCUGGUGUAGCGGUGAAAUGCGCAGAUAUCAGGAGGAACACCAGCGGCGAAGGCGGCGCUCUGGGCCGGUACUGACGCUGAGGAGCGAAAGCGUGGUAGCAAACA